GAUGAACGCUGGCGGCGUGCUUAACACAUGCAAGUCGAACGAUGAAAGCGGGAGCUUGCCCCUGCUGGAUUAGUGGCGAACGGGUGAGUAACACGUGAGCAAUCUGCCCCGAACUCUGGGAUAAGCGUUGGAAACGACGUCUAAUACCGGAUACGACGCGCGAAGGCAUCUUCUGCGCGUGGAAAGAACUUCGGUUCGGGAUGAGCUCGCGGCCUAUCAGCUAGUUGGUGAGGUAACGGCCCACCAAGGCGACGACGGGUAGCCGGCCUGAGAGGGUGACCGGCCACACUGGGACUGAGACACGGCCCAGACUCCUACGGGAGGCAGCAGUGGGGAAUAUUGCACAAUGGGCGCAAGCCUGAUGCAGCAACGCCGCGUGAGGGACGACGGCCUUCGGGUUGUAAACCUCUUUUAGUAGGGAAGAAGCGAAAGUGACGGUACCUGCAGAAAGAGCACCGGCUAACUACGUGCCAGCCGCCGCUGUAAAAC
rnacentral:rRNA from 1 species